CCAGUACUUCUCAUCCUUAAUAUUUCUAUACUUUUUCUGUGUAAUACUCUUCAGCUUCCUUUAAUAUCUGAGAAACUGGUUUAUGUCCUGCUUUCAAGGAUCAUACAGUUGGGCUUGGAGGUAAGACUUAAUAUACAUGUAGCAGCAAACAAUAAAACAACACCAACUUAAUUGAUUAAUUGUAUAGAACAAUCCACAGAGGGUUAGUUAUUUAAAGAAAGAUCAAUCUCCACCUCUUAAACUAGAAAGCUAUCUUAGACAGUCUUAAUAGCCAAGGAAAAAGAAGACAUAAUUCAAGAAUCAUGAUUUAAAAACUGACUUUUGAAUUACGGUAUAAAAAAAGAUGGGUUUUACUCUGCAAACUUUUCCUCAGAAUUUAAGGCUCUACUUAUUAUUGGUUUCAGCUUGAUUUUUAGCAAUUUGAAUAACUAACCAAGUACAGUUUUUUUUUUUAGAGAGGUAAAUACAAAUAUAUCAAGAUGAUAAAGAAGACCAUUAGAUACCCUUCAUUAACCAAGAAGAAAGUUUCUUACCUCAUCAGCAGCCUUACCAUCUACUUUACAGGGUUUUUGGACCAGAAUGGCAGCUACUCUGUGUGACACUGCAGCAAAACGUAAGGCAGUUGUCAAAUGUUCAUCACCCACAUAUAUCCCUGGAUAUUAAAUUGAAGUCAAAUUUUAUGAGACUGUCACCUGACAGGAUUUAGGCAUUUUUGUUUACUUUUCCCAUCUUGUAUUGUCUAUAAUAGGAUAUAUGGAAGACUGUCUAUAAGCAAAUUUAUGAUGGAGGCAUUAUUUUGCUCCACUAACAACUCAUUAAACUUAGCAAUUUUUGGCAAAAAGCAACAUGUGGAUAAGAAGUAAUUAGACCAUUUUGCUUAUUCAGGCCGUAGACUGUUUCUGAAUGCAGUUCUGAGAAAGGAUGUUAAAAGUGAUUUCAUAUAUUCAUUCUUUCUUUCAUUUAUUUCAAGAAGUGCCUACCCCUGAUAUAGGUUCUAAAACUUUUCAAUCUAAGUGCUUGCCAUCAUGAGCUACAUUAUGAAUCAUAAGGAAGGAAGGCAAUCACUAGUACACAAAUUUGCAAUAACAGCAGCUUCAUUGUAACAAGCUUUAUAAUCUAAUGAGAGUGCUUUCGAGGACUGUGCCAAUUCAAUGUAUAAUUUAGUCACUCAAAAAUACUAAAUGAGUAUCUUCCAUGUGCCAAAUACUGUUCUAGACUCCAGGGAAUAGAAAUGUCUAUGACACAGACAUGAAUAUCUAAUCCACCCUUAUAGAACUUACACUCUGGAGCAGAAACCAACAAUAAGGUUUUUUUGUUUUGUUUUUAGAUAAUAGUAAGUGCAAAAGAGAAAAAUGAGCAAGGGAAUGAGAUAUAGUGUCAGUAGGGAGCAAUUUUAGUUAGAGUGGCCAGGAAAGCCUCAUUGCAAACAUGACAUGGGAGUAAAGACCAAUCACAUCAGUGUUGAUCUUCAUAAGUUAUGGCCCUGGAACAUGAGAGACAGAAAGGCAGAGAUAAGCAAAGUAACUUUCGAAAGGUUCCUAACAAAAUGUCACCUUACCCCUGGAAAGAGACCUGUAAUGCUGUUUGCAUUUUAGCCUUUUAAUGUAAG
rnacentral:lncRNA from 10 species